rnacentral:rRNA from 1 species
AGAACGAACGCUGGCGGCAGGCUUAACACAUGCAAGUCGAACGGUUGUAGCAAUACAGCAGUGGCAGACGGGUGAGUAACACGUGGGAACCUUCCUAGGGGUACGGAACAACUCAGGGAAACUUGAGCUAAUACCGUAUACGUCCGUAAGGAGAAAGAUUUANCGCCCCUAGACGGGCCCGCGUAGGAUUAGGUAGUUGGUGAGGUAACGGCUCACCAAGCCUACGAUCCUUAGCUGAUCUGAGAGGAUGAUCAGCCACACUGGGACUGAGACACGGCCCAGACUCCUACGGGAGGCAGCAGUGGGAAUC